GUGGGGAAUAUUGGACAAUGGGCGCAAGCCUGAUCCAGCCAUACCGCGUGGGUGAAGAAGGCCUUCGGGUUGUAAAGCCCUUUUGUUGGGAAAGAAAUCCUGUCGGUUAAUACCUGGCGGGGAUGACGGUACCCAAAGAAUAAGCACCGGCUAACUUCGUGCCAGCAGCCGCGGUAAUACGAAGGGUGCAAGCGUUACUCGGAAUUACUGGGCGUAAAGCGUGCGUAGGUGGUGGUUUAAGUCCGUUGUGAAAGCCAUGGGCUCAACCUGGGAAUUGCAGUGGAUACUGGAUCACUAGAGUGUGGUAGAGGGAUGCGGAAUUUCUGGUGUAGCAGUGAAAUGCGUAGAGAUCAGAAGGAACAUCCGUGGCGAAGGCGGCAUCCUGGGCCAACACUGACACUGAGGCACGAAAGCGUGGGGAGCAAACAGGAUUAGAAACCCCGGUAGUCC
rnacentral:rRNA from 1 species